UACGUAGGGGCGCAGCGUUAUCCGGAAUUCAUUGGGCGUAAAGCGCGUGUAGGCGGUUCGGUAAGUCCGCUGUGAAAGUCGGGGGCUCAACCCUCGAAAGCCGGUGGAUACUGUCGGACUAGAGUGCGGAAGAGGCGAGUGGAAUUCCUGGUGUAGCGGUGAAUGCGCAGAUAUCAGGAGGAACACCAAUUGCGAAGGCAGCUCGCUGGGACGUUACUGACGCUGAGACGCGAAAGCGUGGGGAGCAACAGG
rnacentral:rRNA from 1 species